CCGAGUUUACAACUCCCAAACCCAAUGUGAACGUUACCAAACUGUUGCCUCGGCGGGGUCACGCCCCGGGUGCGUAAAAGCCCCGGAACCAGGCGCCCGCCGGAGGAACCAACCAAACUCUCUCUGUAGUCCCCUCGCGGACGUAUUUCUUACAGCUCUGAGCAAAAAUUCAAAAUGAAUCA
rnacentral:misc_RNA from 1 species